rnacentral:rRNA from 1 species
UUUAUUGAGAGUUUGAUCCUGGCUCAGGAUGAACGCUGGCGGCGUGCUUAACACAUGCAAGUCGAACGGAACGCCAAGGAAAGAGUUUUCGGACAAUGGAAUUGGUUGUUUAGUGGCGGACGGGUGAGUAACGCGUGAGUAACCUGCCUUGGAGUGGGGAAUAACACAGUGAAAACUGUGCUAAUACCGCAUGAUAUAUU